UACGAAGGGGGCUAGCGUUGUUCGGAAUCACUGGGCGUAAAGCGCACGUAGGCGGAUCUUUAAGUCAGGGGUGAAAUCCCGAGGCUCAACCUCGGAACUGCCUUUGAUACUGGGGAUCUCGAGUCCGGGAGAGGUGAGUGGAACUGCGAGUGUAGAGGUGAAAUUCGUAGAUAUUCGCAAGAACACCAGUGGCGAAGGCGGCUCACUGGCCCGGAACUGACGCUGAGGCGCGAAAGCUAGGGGAGCAAACAGG
rnacentral:rRNA from 1 species